rnacentral:rRNA from 1 species
UGACCGCUGGCGGCGUGCCUAAUACAUGCAAGUCGAGCGAACAGACGCGGAGCUUGCUCCUCUGACGUUAGCGGCGGACGGGUGAGUAACACGUGGAUAACCUACCUAUAAGACUGGGAUAACUUCGGGAAACCGGAGCUAAUACCGGAUAAUAUAUUGAACCGCAUGGUUCAAUAGUGAAAGACGGUUUUGCUGUCACUUAUAGAUGGAUCCGCGCCGCAUUAGCUAGUUGGUAAGGUAACGGCUUACCAAGGCAACGAUGCGUAGCCGACCUGAGAGGGUGAUCGGCCACACUGGAACUGAGACACGGUCCAGACUCCUACGGGAGGCAGCAGUAGGGAAUCUUCCGCAAUGGGCGAAAGCCUGACGGAGCAACGCCGCGUGAGUGAUGAAGGUCUUCGGAUCGUAAAACUCUGUUAUUAGGGAAGAACAAAUGUGUAAGUAACUAUGCACGUCUUGACGGUACCUAAUCAGAAAGCCACGGCUAACUACGUG